rnacentral:misc_RNA from 1 species
GAAAUGCGAUAAGUAAUGUGAAUUGCAGAAUUCAGUGAAUCAUCGAAUCUUUGAACGCACCUUGCGCUCCUUGGUAUUCCUUGGAGCAUGCCUGUUUGAGUAUCAUGAAAUCUUCAAAGUAAAUCUUUUGUUAACUCAAUUGGUUUCUACUUUGGUAUUGGAGGUCUUUGCAGCUUCACACCUGCUCCUCUUUGUUCAUUAGCUGGAUCUCAGUGUUAUGCUUGGUUCCACUCGGCGUGAUAAGUAUCUAUCGCUGAGGACACUGUAAAAGGUGGCCAAGGUAAAUGCAGAUGAACCGCUUCUAAUAGUCCAUUGACUUGGACAAUACUUUUAUGAUCUGAUCUGAAAUCAGGUAGGACUACCCGCUGAACUUAAGC